rnacentral:rRNA from 1 species
UGCAUAGGAAUCUGCCCGGUAGUGGGGGAUAACUUGAGGAAACUCAAGCUAAUACCGCAUACGCCCCAAGGGGGAAAGCAGGGGAUCUUCGGACCUUGCGCUAUCGGAUGAGCCUAUGUCGGAUUAGCUAGUUGGUGAGGUAAUGGCUCACCAAGGCCGCGAUCCGUAGCUGGUCUGAGAGGAUGAUCAGCCACAUCGGGACUGAGACACGGCCCGAACUCCUACGGGAGGCAGCAGUGGGGAAUAUUGGACAAUGGGCGAAAGCCUGAUCCAGCCAUGCCGCGUGUGUGAAGAAGGCCUUCGGGUUGUAAAGCACUUUCAGCGAGGAAGAACGCUUGUGGGUUAAUACCCUGCAAGAAGGACAUCACUCGCAGAAGAAGCACCGGCUAACUCCGUGCCAGCAGCCGCGGUAAUACGGAGGGUGCAAGCGUUAAUCGGAAUUACUGGGCGUAAAGCGCGCGUAGGCGGCUUGAUAAGCCGGUUGUGAAAGCCCCGGGCUCAACCUGGGAACGGCAUCCGGAACUGUCAGGCUAGAGUGCAGGAGAGGAAGGUAGAAUUCCCGGUGUAGCGGUGAAAUGCGUAGAGAUCGGGAGGAAUACCAGUGGCGAAGGCGGCCUUCUGGACUGACACUGACGCUGAGGUGCGAAAGCGUGGGUAGCAAACAGGAUUAGAUACCCUGGUAGUCCACGCCGUAAACGAUGUCGACUAGCCGUUGGGGUCCUCGAGACCUUUGUGGCGCAGUUAACGCGAUAAGUCGACCGCCUGGGGAGUACGGCCGCAAGGUUAAAACUCAAAUGAAUUGACGGGGGCCCGCACAAGCGGUGGAGCAUGUGGUUUAAUUCGAUGCAACGCGAAGAACCUUACCUACUCUUGACAUCGAGCGAACCAUCCAGAGAUGGAUGGGUGCCUUCGGGAACGCUCAGACAGGUGCUGCAUGGCCGUCGUCAGCUCGUGUUGUGAAAUGUUGGGUUAAGUCCCGUAACG